AGAGAAGCAAUGCCCUUCUGUCAUGUCUCUAGACCCAGAAUGAGCCUUUGGGACAGAAACUGAGGAGGAGGAUGCUUUGGCUUUCUAAUUUAUGUUCACACCAAAUGGGGGUGCAGCUCAGAAGAUGCCCAGCUUAUCCAACCCCCCUUCAAGCAAAAGAUUCAAUGAAGGCCAGCAUUGUUUAGUCUGCAUAAACAGAGGCCAGACCUGUGAAGCCAGGAAGACAAAAAGCCCGCCCUCUAGCGGUCACACUGGGCAGCGCUCAUCACUCCCGGGAGCACCAACAGGAAGGCGGGAGCGUGAGGGCUAAAAUACACCUUGGUGACCAGGCUUUUAUUUCAGUCAAUGGUGGUUAAACUGCAUUUUGUGAAGUUUGAAAAACUGCAGUUUGGGGAAGCAAGACUGAUCUGUAUCGCUAGGAUGAAGAUGGAGGCAUUUUAACCUGGCCCUGUUCCUGGACCCCGUCCACAUUUUCCUGGGGGUUGCAUUGCACCUUUCGUUCUCUGCUUCACUAAGGCAGUGGCAGCACAAUAUUUCUAGACACAAGUGGAAGAGGACAGUGUGACAGUCAAGUCUUCUGUGCUUGCCUACGCAUGUGGUAUUUCGGAUGAUGGUUUAGCAUUUGAGAACUUAGUGAUGGUGAUGUGCUAUUUUCUUUAACAUAUGAAGUGAAAAUUCAGCCAUCAACAGUGCUUCAGAUCGGUUGAAUUUUAUCCCACUUUUUAACCUCGACAAACACUAGAAAAGCUGAAGGAUUCUGAGUGGCAGCCAAUGCUUUUCAUCAGAGAAACUCAAACUUCUUCCCAAACAUUAAUCAAACCCCACUGCAUUGUGGCCCAGUUGUAAGCUGAAUUUUUCUUUGAAAGAAAGAGAAAAAGAAAUCCAACAAUAUAAGCAAGUAGGCAGCAGAUGUACAAGGCAGAGGGAAAUGAAAACUUAAAGAUGCAGACUUGGGUUCGUAGGUACCAAGGCACCAACUCCUUUUCAGUGAAAUGGUAUUCUCAGCCCCUCAUCCCAGUCUGUUCCUGCUUUCCUAUAGAGAGCUGUUGAUCAAGUCACCCUUUCUGCAAGCUCUACUCCUUGGCACCGAUAGAGACGUUUGUGUCUUGCUUUUAUCGCCAUUAGUCAUGGUAAGGCUGUGGUCUAUGGGAAAGCCUUCCAAGAUGACAGAGAAAUUGGGAGUGUUUCCAGGAUGCUACCUUGUACAUCUGGUCUCUGGGAAGGAAAAGACUGCAAACCAGGUUGAGUCUCUUUGAAGUAGAGGGAUCUAGGGAAUGAGUGUGUGAAUGAAAGUUCCCAGAUGGAAGCUACUCCUUCAAAUAGAAACUUGUAGAAGGCUCAGCAACUGAUGAGAACUUCAAUGACUGUUGAUAAUUCAGAAUGUUGACAUUCCAGAGCCAAGAUAUGUUGGGCUGUCUUUAGCUCUCUUGAAAGCCAUGUAUUUACUCUGUUCUUUGUACCUGACCUGACAGCUUUGUGACCCUCAGGUAAAUCAUUUGGAAUGUUCAGAGUAUUAGUUUUCCAACAAACUAGAAAGCUAAGAAUAUUGUCCAAUAGCAUCCAAGGCCUGUAGGAGAGGUUUUCCAGUUUGUUUCAACCUUCCCGUAUAAUGUUUCUG
rnacentral:lncRNA from 1 species